rfam:Ovis aries breed Texel chromosome 9, whole genome shotgun sequence.
UCCCUGGUGGCUCAGAAGGUAGAGAAUCUGCCUGCAAUGCAGGAGACCUGGGUUAGAUCCCUGGGUUGGGAA